UUGUUGUUUUCUGUUCUUCCAUGAGCUGAGCCCCCUCCUCAUUUUCCCUCCCCAAAUCUUCACAAAAAUGCAAGAAUCCAGCCCUGCAUGUCACACCACAAGAUCCCCAUAAUUCUAAGCUUUCCAUCCAUCCAAAUAGCUUGCACAUGCAUGGAGAGUUGAGAGAGAUCGAGAAGGAAUAAGAGAGUGGUGUUUUCAGCAGCAGCAGCAGUUUGUUUUCCUCCACUUUGGUCAUCCACUUGUUGUUGCAGCUAGAAGGUGGCUGCAACUCACCCCGAUUUCAUCUCUUUUGAUUUCGGUUGAAGCAACCCCUAAGCAACGUCUUUUGCCAUCAGCCCGGGGCUUUGCUUCGUCUCUUGCCGUCAUCCCAAGGCCUUAGCCUUGCACAAUACCAUGUCCAGUCUGCUACCAUGUGAGCCAAGUCUGGUGGAAGUUGGUGCAAAAGGGGAGGGAAAAGAGAAAUCAAUUUUCUAAAAUAGUUUGAGCUGAAAAAGAUUUGGCGAAUCCGGGGAGUAACGAGCCACACCCAGAGGAGGAUAGUGACCACCCUCAGCAGCAAGG